ACGGGAUGCACGGCUCCAUAUAAAACGAAAACACUCCGGGAAUUUUUCGGAUUCUGGAAGAAAGCGUCGAUCCGUCAUGAAGGCUUUGGUUAUCCUCUUCAGUCUGGCCAUGUUCAUGGCAGUGGCAAUGGCUCACCCUGGUAUCUACGGUGGAGGACUCGGAGGUUACGGCGGAGGUCUUGGAGGCUUCGGUGGAGGUGUCGGAGGCUACGGCGGAGUCGGCUUCGGUGGUGGCUACGGCGGCUUCCGCGGCGGUCUUGGCGGCUAUGGCGGAUUGGGCUACGGCAGAUAAAUUGAUUGCUGCUGCAGCGGAUUGGUUGUGGAUGCAACGCUCCCACAAAGCACGAUGCGGAAACUUAAUAAAAGACAAUGCUUUGAGUAUAAAAA